AGCGGCGGACGGGUGAGUAACACGUGGGUAACCUGCCCAAGAGACUGGGAUAACACCUGGAAACAGAUGCUAAUACCGGAUAACAACACUAGACGCAUGUCUAGAGUUUGAAAGAUGGUUCUGCUAUCACUCUUGGAUGGACCUGCGGUGCAUUAGCUAGUUGGUAAGGUAACGGCUUACCAAGGCAAUGAUGCAUAGCCGAGUUGAGAGACUGAUCGGCCACAUUGGGACUGAGACACGGCCCAAACUCCUACGGGAGGCAGCAGUAGGGAAUCUUCCACAAUGGACGAAAGUCUGAUGGAGCAACGCCGCGUGAGUGAAGAAGGGUUUCGGCUCGUAAAGCUCUGUUGGUAGUAAAGAAAGAUAGAGGUAGUAACUGGCCUUUAUUUGACGGUAAUUACUUAGAAAGUCACGGCUAACUACGUGCCAGCAGCCGCGGUAAUACGUAGGUGGCAAGCGUUGUCCGGAUUUAUUGGGCGUAAAGCGAGUGCAGGCGGUUCAAUAAGUCUGAUGUGAAAGCCUUCGGCUCAACCGGAGAAUUGCAUCAGAAACUGUUGAACUUGAGUGCAGAAGAGGAGAGUGGAACUCCAUGUGUAGCGGUGGAAUGCGUAGAUAUAUGGAAGAACACCAGUGGCGAAAGGCGGCUCUCUGGUCUGCAACUGACGCUGAGGCUCGAAAGCAUGGGUAGCGAACAGGAUUAGAUACCCUGGUAGUCCAUGCCGUAAACGAUGAGUGCUAAGUGU
rnacentral:rRNA from 1 species